rnacentral:lncRNA from 1 species
GACUUUGAAGAGCUAGCUUUCUUUCCUUUCCUCCUGACACUUCUUUCCGGCUUUGGUUCUUUACUGUCGAUUUUUUCAGUUGUCCAUAUCAUCGCGCUCAUCAUUACCAGAUAAAUUAUUUCCUUUGGACAGAACAGGAGAGUCGGUACCAUCUUGCUUCUCAAGGGACUUUGAAACAUCUAAAGUAUCAUCUUCACCAGCCUGUGCAAUGCCAUUGCUCAUGACAGACUUGGGAGAUCUGUCUCCAGCAGCAUUAUCUUGUUGUGGUGGUGUGGCUUCUUUUGUAAUCUCACUAUCCACCUAA